AGUUGGGCACUCUAGUGAGACUGCCGGUGACAAACCGGAGGAAGGUGGGGACGACGUCAAAUCAUCAUGCCCCUUAUGACCUGGGCUACACACGUGCUACAAUGGAUGGUACAACGAGUCGCGAGACCGCGAGGUUAAGCUAAUCUCUUAAAACCAUUCUCAGUUCGGACUGUAGGCUGCAACUCGCCUACACGAAGUCGGAAUCGCUAGUAAUCGCGGAUC
rnacentral:rRNA from 1 species